rnacentral:tmRNA from 1 species
GGGGUCGAUUUAUGGUUUCGACGGAAUAAGAUGAGUACGGAUGGCAAGUCGAGGCAAACGUAAAUGCAUCAGUUAAUAAUAACUGGCAAUAAAAUUAAAAAUACACUUUCUACACUUUUCGCAAGAAAUGCUGUAGCUUUUGCCUAAUUUAAUUUAGGGAAGUGUGCUUCUUCUAUCUCUUUUCCUGUGAGAGAUUUAAGAGGCUUAAAAAGCAGGAUAUAUUACUAUGAUGUCUAUAAGUAGUAACGAAUUUUAUAGGCUGGUUGUGUAAUAAUUUGUUAAUUAGUUUUUUGCACAACGACAUUUCUUAAUUAACUAAACUUGUAGAGGUCUGUAUAAUGCUUUUUUCGGACGGGAGUUCAAUUCUCCCCGGCUCCACCA